rnacentral:rRNA from 1 species
GACAGAGGUGCCGAGCGUUAGGCGGAAUCACUGGGCUUAAAGCGUGUGUAGGCGGGCGAUCAAGUACCUUGUGAAAUCCCACGGCUCAACCGUGGAACCGCUGGGUAUACUGGUUGUCUUGAGCCGGCUAGGGGCGAGCGGAACAGACGGUGGAGCGGUGAAAUGCGUAGAUAUCGUCUGGAACGCCGAAGGUGAAAACAGCUCGCUGGGGUUGCGCCGACGCUGAGACACGAAAGCCAGGGGAGCAAACGGG